rnacentral:rRNA from 1 species
GACGAACGCUGGCGGCGUGCUUAACACAUGCAAGUCGAACGGAAAGGCCCUGCUUUUGUGGGGUGCUCGAGUGGCGAACGGGUGAGUAACACGUGAGUAACCUGCCCUUGACUUUGGGAUAACUUCAGGAAACUGGGGCUAAUACCGGAUAGGAGCUCCUGCUGCAUGGUGGGGGUUGGAAAGUUUCGGCGGUUGGGGAUGGACUCGCGGCUUAUCAGCUUGUUGGUGGGGUAGUGGCUUACCAAGGCUUUGACGGGUAGCCGGCCUGGGAGGGUGACCGGCCACAUUGGGACUGAGGUACGGCCCAGACUCCUACGGGAGGCAGCGGUGGGGAAUAUUGCACAUUGGGCGGAAGCCUGAUGCAGCAACGCCGCGUGCGGGAUGACGGCCUUCGGGUUGUAAACCGCUUUCGCCUGUGACGAAGCGUGAGUGACGGUAAUGGGUAAAGAAGCACCGGCUAACUACGU